rnacentral:rRNA from 1 species
AGCAGCCGCGGUAAUUCCAGCUCCAAUAGCGUAUAUUAAAGUUGUUGCAGUUAAAAAGCUCGUAGUUGAAUUUCGGGAUCAAUAUGUCGGUCGUGCCUCCGGUACGUACUGGCAUCAUUGAUUUCUCCCUUCUGACGAACCAUGAUGUCAUUAAUUUGGUGUCAUGGGGAGUCAGGACUGUUACUUUGAAAAAAUUAGAGUGUUUAAAGCAGGCUCACGCUUGAAUACAUUAGCAUGGAAUAAUGAAAUAGGACGUUUGAUCCUAUUUUGUUGGUUUCUAGGAUCGACGUAAUGAUUAAUAGGGAUAGUUGGGGGCAUUAGUAUUCAAUUGUCAGAGGUGAAAUUCUUGGAUUUAUUGAAGACUAACUACUGCGAAAGCAUUUGCCAAGGAUGUUUUCAUUAAUCAAGAACGAAAGUUAGGGGAUCGAAGACGAUCAGAUACCGUCGUAGUCUUAACCAUAAACUAUGCCGACUAGGGAUCGGAUGAUGUUAAUUUUUAAUGACUCU